AAUACUUGUGCUUUCCCUCCAUCUAGCACUGUGCCUCCAGGAGAGAGGGUUUUUUUCUGGUCGCCCCUGCAGACAUGACCCUGCUUGUCCCUGGCCAAUCCCAGGGCCAGACUGGAUUGUUGGCCCUCUGACUCACCCUAGAAGGCCUGGGGCUGGAGAGGCCUGGAACUCCUCGGAGAAGCCAAAGAUUUUGCAGAAUCAAGGAUGGAUGGAGUAUCAAAAUAAGGAACGGAAAAAACUGAAGAUAUACUAAGGAUUAAGGCCCAGGUUCAUCUAGUGUCCCCAGGUGCCAGGCAUUGUGCUGUGACUGUGAUGUGAAAAAAGAGGCCAGGACAACUGGGUCUCAUUCAGUCAGACUGGAGUGCAGUGGUGUGA
rnacentral:lncRNA from 1 species